GGCGGCGUAGCUCAGCUGGCUAGAGCGUACGGUUCAUACCCGUAAGGUCGGGGGUUCGAUUCCCUCCGCCGCUACUA
rnacentral:tRNA from 11 species